rnacentral:rRNA from 1 species
UACGUAGGGUGCGAGCGUUGUCCGGAAUUAUUGGGCGUAAAGGGCUCGUAGGCGGUUUGUCGCGUCGGGAGUGAAAACGCCGUGCUUAACACGGCGCUUGCUUUCGAUACGGGCAGACUAGAGGUAUGCAGGGGAGAACGGAAUUCCUGGUGUAGCGGUGAAAUGCGCAGAUAUCAGGAGGAACACCGGUGGCGAAGGCGGUUCUCUGGGCAUUACCUGACGCUGAGGAGCGAAAGCGUGGGGAGCAAACAGG